CACUUUAACAGGUACAGAUGGUGACUGUUGGUGACUGAUGGUGACUUGAUGGUGACUCAGGGUUCUGUUGGUGACUCAGUUUCUCAGAUUGGGUUCAGAUGACAGUUGAUCAGUUGACUUUGGGUUUCAGAUGAUUGUGAUCAGAGUUCGAGCCGAAGCUUCGAUCCUGUGUUCAGAGAUGCACAGCUUGCCAGUCGUGUCUGCAUCAUGUGCAUCAUAGCAUGUUUAUUUUUCAAAAGAAAUGCAAAAUAAAAAAAAAUUGGAAAAAAGAGAAAAAAGAAAAACUAAUCC
rnacentral:lncRNA from 1 species